CGAUCUCAUCUCAGAAAAGCUCGAACAAGCACCUAGUGCAUAUAGGGUUAUGCACCAUGUAACGAGCCAAUUUUUUCUUGCCUACCAUUCACGAGAUUCUUCGUUUAAAGACUCUCAUCUGUGCCUGAGUGCUCAAAUAAGAGAGGUGUCAAUAGAUGAUAUAGCAACGUAUCAGUAUCAAUACACCAACAAAACGAAAGUUGAAAAGGACACACGGUCAGUGCAACUAGCUAAAACGGACGAAGCUUAUCAGUACUAUAAUGAGUUCCAUAUAACUGUUAGUAAA
rnacentral:lncRNA from 1 species